GUCGUGGAACAGGACAUUGCAUGUAUUCCCUAUGCCUUUUUGUUGCUAUGAGUUUAUAUAUUGUUUGUAUGUGAACACUUUCUUAGCUUUUUUGUAUUUUCAUUUAUUCAGAAAUUAUAUUUAGAGCUUCAUAGUAUCUGAUGGUAACAGAAUAGACAUAUAUAUAAUUUUGCUUUGGUUUAUAUGAAAACUGAACUUUCUAAAGGAGCUGUCUCAAGCUACACCUGUCUAACAAUGCUUUGGUAAGUGUGUUUAUAUAAUUAGAAACUAUAAAAACUAUGUUGGUUUAAACGUCAACACAUUUCUUUAUUAAAAUGCUUAAAAUUGUGUUCAUUUUUACAAUCUUUUUCUAAAUUAGUGGAGCUGGGAAGUAUUUGGUCAUGCUUUUAACAAAGAGAGCUCAUAUAUAAAAAGUGCCUUCCAGUUUUUUUAACAAAACUUAUUAACCACUUCAUUUCUUAAACCACUGGGCUAUAGACAGGUAACAGUUUUAUGGUUAGAAGUUUAAACUGCAUAUCUCACUGUGAAUUAACUAAAUUUUUUUCUCACCUUCCACUAAGAUUUUUCUCUUGUAGGAGAAUCUUUCAUUGAGAUGAUUGAAGUUGCUGCAAUGAGAAUGAAAAUUACUUGGGCUCCUUUCCUUUUAAAAGCUGUAUGCGAGAACUGUGUGAGGAAGAGGUGAGUACUGUGCAUCUUUUAAAGACCAGAUCUGCAAUCAACUUUCCUUGUUACCAGCUCAGGCUGAGAAGCAGAGUUUCUGUGCUGUUUGUUCAUGGUCUAUUUCUGCAGUCCUGUGAACUCCAAAAUACUCAGAUUUGCGUCCUGUCUUUUCCCUGUUUAAUUUUGCAAAUAUAAUUCAUUAUUAAACGCCUGUGUGUGCCAUUUUUUGCUUGUCAUUUUUUUUAAGUAACAUCAUCAACAUUGUGCAAAAUGUUCUAUGUAGUGAAGGUAUACACGUUUGAACUUCAGCAUAUUUGACAAUAAAUUUACAUGUGAAGAUCUAUUUUACAGAAAGAAUGAGCUAUUCAAAUUGCAACAAUUUCUUAAUGUACAGUGGUAAGCACUGCAUCUCCAAAAAUAUGAAGUUACUUAUACCUACGUAUUUAGGACUUCUACCACCAUUUUCUUCAAAAUGUGCCUAUGGCACACUUUGGUAAAUGAGAGUUGUCUGUAUUAGAAAUUUGGAUACAGUGAUCUGAAAAUGUUUCAGCUUUUCCCUUAGUCAUGGUAUCUUGAGUAUUGGAGAAAAUCUCUUCUAACCAGGUAGCAUUAGCAGUAAUAGUUGAAUUGAAGUGUUUAGACUCCCUUUAUCUUCAUUGUAACCUAUUGUCACAGAAGUCAAAAGAAGUUAUAGAAAUGUGCCCAAAAUGGUGAGCUGCUAUUGUACCAGUUUAACAGCAGCAGCAAUUCUUCAUGUAAAACACAAACAAAACAUUUAAAAUGUAUUUGUAGGAAAACUUAUGUCUGAGAGAUCUGUGAAUCUCCUUGCUAAGGUGGCAGUUGUAAGUGUAUCGAAAUAAAAUAUUUAAAUAUAAAGAGAAAUAAGAAAAAAUGCUGGAAAAAUGCAAUGGCAUGAGUGACAUUACUCAUCUUUCUGUGAGGGGGAUAAUAAUCAUGGGAGUACUUUUUUUCACUCUAAAUAGUAUAUUUCUGUUAGAAGCUAUUUAAUGGUUGUCAGGUGCAAUUCUUUUUUUUUCCCAUGUUUUAUUCACUUAUAAUUAAUAGCUCUGUAUUUGUUAAUAAAUAAAAUUAAAUUUCUUA